AGUUUAGCGUUUGCAUGGUAGAGUGCUUAAUUGUGUCAGAUUACACUUUUUUUCAUGAUCUCCAUGGCUUGUAUUUUUGCUGAGAAACAAUGACCUGUAAUCCGCUGUGGUUCUCGUGUUGAUCCACGGCUAUAAUAACAAGCCGAUUAGGAAAAAGAUGGAAGUUCGCUUGUAGGCAGCCUUCGAAUUUCUGACACAUGUUUGAAGCAAGGUAAAUGAUGAAAGAGCUGAAUAUACCCACCAUGGUAUACAUGAAGUUGCACUGAACAGUCACUUUUGUGUCACAAAUUAUAUAAAAAAAUACACGAUCUGAGUGCCAAAACUUCACUAAUAUAGUGCAUUUUCCAUCGUCUCUGGGUCCCAUUUGUCGGCAUACCAGAGAGAUAAAUCCUUCUCAGUCUCCCUAUAGCAGUAGGCUCACUUUUUAGAUGAGUGGGAGGAAAGAAACAGGAGCUAGUAAUAUGAAGGCCAGCUAAGAACAACUCGAGCAAAAAGGAGUGGUAGGAAAGAAACAGGAACUAAUAAGAAGGCCAGCUAAGUAUGCUGAUGAUAGUAAUAGCUCAUGUAAUUGGGUCGAUGAAACCCCAGAUUUUCUAGUUGUUCAUCUUGCAAACGAUGUAACCUUAUUACAAGUUCAAUAAAGCAACCAUAAUCUAAAAUGCCAAACGGAGACCGAGCUCUAUGGAGACCUUUAUUUGAAAACUUCAAAAUUCAAACUUUUUAGUUUCAAAAAAUUCUAAAAAUAAAUACACAUAUACGUGUUUGCAAAUUUUCAGGUUGAAAUACAUUAAAAUGUGAGCUAUACAAAAAAGACAAAUCGGGGGCUGUUUAGCAUAUGUACUGUUCAUCUUUAAAGUCUAUGUUUUUCUUUUUUUUUGUGUAGCUCGCAAUUCAAGGUAUUUCAUCCUGAAAAAUUUCACACAUACACUUUACAUCCUUGCAUACAUGUGUUAUUUUCUCAGAAUUUUUUAAGACUGAAAUUUUUUAUUUUUUAUUUUUUCAAAAUAAAGGUCCCCAUAAUGGCAUUCUCUCAAAAAAUAAGAAGGUCAGCUAAGAGCAACUGCGCGCGCGCACACACACAAGGCCAGCUAAGAGCAACUCUAAGCAGACCCCGCAAAAACAGUAAUAUGUUUUUCCCUAAACCGGAUUUGCGUACCGCAUGGCAUGGGGCAGAACACCUGUAAAUUCGUAUGAUAAUUCUUUUUUUCCCCACGCUUCUUCUUCUCCGGUCCACACGGAUGCAUGGGACGCAUGUAUGGACGGACUCGAACUUCGGUUGGCCAGAACACAUGGACAUAACGCACACAUGCAUGCCCAGGACGCAUGGUCGGCUUGCUCCGGCCGCCGUCUACUUCAGUGAUGCUCUGGCCGGCCGCUGCCGAGCUCCUCUGUCUGCUCGCUGCUCCUGCGCGGCACCGCCAGGCCGUCUGCUCCGGCGUUGAUCGGUUUAUGGUUUCCCUAAAAGAUGAUUGAAACCCUGCAAGUAUGGGUAUGUAGGGGUUAGUAUACGGGCCUGUAUUUUUUAGAUGAUCUAGUUGGUGCAUUUUUCAACCUAUACUGCAAAUUUAAAGGUUUAACCAUUUUUAUAGGAUCCGCUAGAGAUGUUGUAAGGGGACUCGGUCGAUGGAAAUACACGAUUUGAGUGCCAAAACUUGACUUGACGUCAUAAUAUGGUGCUUUUUUUCCAUCAUGUGUGUGUCCCACUUGUUGGCAUACAAGAGAAAUAAGGAGGCCAAUAGCCAGCGACCAUUCACUGGCCAGGAUGGCAUUUGCGCACGGCGCGACUGUCAGUUUCUAUAAUGGGUGUAAAAAAUUUCAAAAUUGCCAUGACAUUUCGUUUACAUCUAGGGUGUUUUUGAUCCGCCACCAUCUGAUUCCGACCAGACGGCUCUGGGGCGGCAGGAGGGGGGAGGGGGGGUGCGCUCUCUGGGAUUUCGUUCCCAUGAAACUUUCCCAAGAUAGCAUUACCGAGAAAGAAAUCUCUCUCUAUCGGAUGUGGGACAAGCCCUUAUUUGCUCAAUCUUCACAAAUUGAAGAGGGAGUUGAGGAGGAACACGAAGAACACAAAGGGGAAAACAUGAGGAAUCAAAGGGGAAAACACUCUAUUGUACAAUAUCCACACCAAGCAUCCCUCAAAUCACAAGCAAUACAUGAGGUGCAUCAAGAUCCAAACACUACAAGGGAAUAAAGAUACAAGGCAGUUCCUGAGAGAGAGGGUUCUUCUCCAAAUCUCUAUGGGAGAUGAAGUUCUUACUAAUCCUAUGGUGGGGAUUCUUCUCCACAAGUUUAGGCCUUGUCAACCAUGAAAGGUGCAACACCACAUAGAGGGAUCCCAUAAAGGGGAGGUAGAUGAGCUAAGCUCUCUCAAGUUUCUGUAAAUCCUAGCUAACACUAGAAUGGAGGAGAAUGAGGGGUAUAUAUAGUCCUACACAAUGAAGGGGUAAGCAGGGGCGUAAUGGGAAGUUACAUGGGCAAAGCUAAACAGUUGCACGUAGGUAACCCCGUGCGCACGAGGUAAGUGGAGCUUGCGGGCACGGUGUAUCCAGAGGGCUGACGCAGUAGCCCGUGCGUGUGGGGGUGGUAUCAUGGCACGGGGUAUUGAGAGGACUUUGUGGCUGCUGGCCUUCCAGUGGACACAUGUUCAUGCUUGCGGAGCCUUGACUUCAUCUUGACAGUUCCUUCUCUGCUUUCAUGCUCCCGUCGCGGAUGGUGCAGGCGCUCGCUUGUGGACAACCUCCUCAACGACACAUUAAGGAUGGAAUUCACGUUAGUAUGUUUGAAGUGGAUGUUGAGUGUGUCUCUUCGCAAUGGGACUCUUGACAUAGUGAUGUCCGUAGGGUGCUCCGCACCACUAUUCCCUUUUAAAAUUUUGCAAUAAGUCAGUAAACCAAAUUAAUGCUAGUGUCAAUGAUGAUGCAUGUGUAUGGCACUCUCGUUUAUGUCAUGUUAAUUUUGGUUUAAUGUCUCAACUAUCCAAUGAGUUUAACUCUAAAUUUCACUGUUGCCAAAGGUUCAAAGUGACAUAGUUGUGUGCAAUCAAAGCAACCUCGAAAGCCUCAAACGGCCGCCGAUGAGAGAAACUUGGCACCUCUAGAACUCAUACAUUCUGAUCUAUGUGAGAUAAAUGGUGCCUUGAAGAAAGGUGGAAAUAGAUAUUUCAUGACAUUGAUUUAUGAUGCAACUAGAUUUUGCUAUCUUUAUAUUUUUUUGCAGACUAGAGAUGAAGCUUUAGACUACUUUAAAAUCUAUAAGGCUGAAGUUGAAAAUCAAUUAGAGAGAAGAUCAAGCAUCUCAGGCCAGAUCGUUGUAGCGAGUAUUUUCCUAAAGUAUUUGAUGAAUUUUGUGAGGAACGCAGUAUUAUUCAUUAGAGAACGCCUCCUUAUUCAGCGCAACCAAACGGAGUAGCUUUGUCCAUUGGCAUCCGGUGGCUGGCGGUGCAUGGGGUUGUGAUGGCAACAGUUGGCGGUGAUGCUCAUCGGUGGCGAGGUGGCGAAGUGGUGAGACGUGGUGGGGGGAGGUGGUAGCACGUCACGCAUGAAGGCCUGAUCUGGGCGCUUGCAGGGUCGUGAAUGAGGAGUGUGGUGGGCGGUUGCUCCGGCAGUGAUGGCGUUCGGGCGGUGAUGGUGGAGACGGUUGAGGAUGGCAUUGUUUAGAUGUGGCAAGAUGGGAAGCUAAAGAUGUGCUCAGAUUUUUUCUGAGCCGGCGAUAGUGACGCCUUUUGGCAUCGUUACCUUGUUGAAGGAGUCAUCGAUGUUAUUCUUGCCUACCUGCCUGCCUGCUACUCCAAUGGGAACCCUAGGUCCAGUUAAUCUCUGAUCGGAUGAUGAUGUUAAUAGUGUCGUUUUCUCUCUUGAGAGCAUCGUUUUCAAGCUGCCUUGAUUAGGGGGGACCAGUGAAUUUGCUAGGUUCACACAGCUGUUGUUGAUUCAAUGUCUCGCCGGUGCCCUAUUUUGGGUGGUUAAGGUACGAGGUAGAGCAUGGCGACGGGUGGUGAAUCCUUUGUUGAGAUGUCGCAUUACAGAUGGUGUGUGGUACUUUGCCCGUGAACAAAAGACCUUGGACACAUAAUGGAUCAGGACUACUUUAAAAUCUAUAAGGCUGAAGUUGAAAAUCAAUUAGAGAGAAGAUCAAGCAUCUAAGGCCACAUCGUUGUAGCGAGUAUUUUCCUAAAGUAUUUGAUGAAUUUUGUGAGGAACGCAGUAUUAUUCAUGAGAGAACGCCUCCUUAUUCAGCGCAACCAAACGAAGUAGCUUUGUCCAUUGGCAUCCGGUGGCUGGCGGUGCAUGGGGUUGUGAUGGCAACAGUUGGCGGUGAUGCUCAUCGGUGGCGAGGUAGCGAAGUGGUGAGACGUGGUGGGGGGGGAGGUGGUGGCACGUCACGCGUGAAGGCCUGAUCUAGGCGCUUGCAGGGUCGUGAAUGAGGAGUGUGGUGGGCGGUUGCUCUGGCAGUGAUGGCGUUCGGGCGGUGAUGGUGGAGACGGUUGAGGAUGGCAUUGUUUAGAUGUGGCGAGAUGGGAAGCUAAAGUUGUGCUCAGAUUUUUUUCUGAGCCGGCGAUAGUGACGCCUUUUGGCAUCGUUACCUUGUUGAAGGAGUCAUCGAUGUUAUUCUUGCCUACCUGCCUGCCUGCUACUCCAAUGGGAACCCUAGGUCCAGUUAAUCUCUGAUCGGAUGAUGAUGUUAAUAGUGUCGUUUUCUCUCUUGGGAGCAUCGUUUUCGAGCUGCCUUGAUUAGGGGGGACCAGUGAAUUUGCUAGGUUCACACAACUGUUGUUGAUUCAAUGUCUCGUCGGUGCCCUGUUUUGGGUGGUUAAGGUAUGAGGUAGAGCGUGGCGACGGGUGGUGAAUCCUUUGUUGAGAUGUCGCGUUACAGAUGGUGUGUGGUACUUUGCCCGUGAACAAAAGACCUUGGACACAUAAUGGAUCAGGACUACUUUAAAAUCUAUAAGGCUGAAGUUGAAAAUCAAUUAGAGAGAAGAUCAAGCAUCUUAGGCCAGAUCGUUGUAGCGAGUAUUUUCCUAAAGUAUUUGAUGAAAUGUGAGGAACACAGUAUUAUUCAUGAGAGGACACCUCCUUAGUCAGCGCAACCAAACGGAGUAACUUUGUCCAUUGGCAUCCGGUGGCUGGCGGUGCAUGGGGUUGUGAUGGCAACAGUUGGCGGUGAUGCUCAUCGGUGGCGAGGUGGCGAAGUGGUGAGACGUGGUGGGGGGAAGGUGGUGGCACGUCAUACGUGAAGGCCUGAUCUGGGCGCUUGCAGGGUUGCGACUGAGGAGUGUGGUGGGCGGUUGCUCUGGCAGUGAUGGCGUUCGGGCGGUGAUGGUGGAGACGGUUGAGGAUGGCAUUGUUUAGAUGUGGCGAGAUGGGAAGCUAAAGUUGUGCUCAGAUUUUUUGCUAAGCCGGCAAUAGUGACGCCUUUUGGCAUCGUUACCUUGUUGAAGGAGUCAUCGAUGUUAUUCCUGCCUACCUGCCUGCCUGCCACUCCAAUGGGAACCCUAGGUCUAGUUAAUCUCUGAUCGGAUGAUGAUGUUAAUAGUGUCGUUUUCUCUCUUGGGAGCAUCGUUUUCGAGCUGCCUUGAUUAGGGGGGACCAGUGAAUUUGCUAGGUUCACGCAGCUGUUGUUGCUUCAAUGUCUCACCGGUGCCCUAUUUUGGGUGGUUAAGGUAUGAGGUAGAGCGUGGCGACGGGUGGUGAAUCCUUUGUUGAGAUGUCGCGUUACAGAUGGUGCGUGGUACUUUGCCCGUGAACAAAAGACCUUGGGCACAUAAUGGAUCAGGACUACUUUAAAAUCUAUAAGGCUGAAGUUGAAAAUCAAUUAGAGAGAAGAUCAAGCAUCUUAGGCCAGAUCAUUGUUGCGAGUAUUUUCCUAAAGUAUUUGAUGAAUUUUGUGAGGAACGCAGUAUUAUUCAUGAGAGGACGCCUCCUUAUUCAGCGCAACCAAACGGAGUAGCUUUGUCCAUUGGCAUCCGGUGGCCGGUGGUGCAUGGGGUUGUGGUGGCAAAAGUUGGCGGUGAUGCUCAUCGGUGGCGAGGUGGCGAAGUGGUGAGACGUCGUAGGGGGGGAGGUGGUGGCACAUCACGCGUGAAGGCCUGAUCUGGGCGCUUGCAGGGUCGCGACUGAGGAGUGUGGUGGGCGGUUGCUCCGGCAGUGAUGGCGUUCGGGCGGUGAUGGUGGAGACGGUUGAGGAUGGCACUGUUGGAAAUAUGCCCUAGAGGCAAUAAUAAAAUGGUUAUUAUUAUAUUUCUUUGUUCAUGAUAAUUGUGUAUUGUUCAUGCUAUAAUUGUGUUAUCCGGAAAUCGUAAUACAUGUGUGAAUACAUAGACCACAACAUGUCCCUAGUGAGCCUCUACUUGACUAGCUCGCUGAUCAAAAGAUAGUCAUGGUUUCCUGACUAUGGACAUUGGAUGUCAUUGAUAACGGGAUCACAUCAUUAGGAGAAUGAUGUGAUGGACAAGACCCAAUCCUAAGCAUAGCUCAAAGAUCGUGUAGUUCGUUUGCUAUAGUUUUUCCGAAUGUCAAGUAUCAUUUCCUUAUACCAUGAGAUUGUGCAACUCCCGGAUACCGUAGGAGUGCUUUGGGUGUGCCAAACGUCACAACGUAACUGGGUGACUAUAAAGGUACACUACAGGUAUCUCCGAAAGUGUCUGUUGGGUUGGCACGAAUCGAGACUGGGAUUUGUCCCUCCGUAUGACGGAGAGGUAUCUCUGGGCCCACUCGGUAAUGCAUCAUCAUAAUGAGCUCAAUGUGACCAAGUGGUUGAUCACGGGAUCAUGCAUUAUGGUACUAGUAAAGUGACUUGGCGGUAACGAGAUUGAACGAGGUAUUGGGAUACCGACGAUCGAGUCUCGGGCAAGUAACGUACCGAUUGACAAAGGGAAUUGUAUACAGAUUGAUUGAAUCCUCGACAUCGUGGUUCAUCCGAUGAGAUCAUCGAGGAGCAUGUGGGAGCCAACAUGGGUAUCCAGAUCCCGCUGUUGGUUAUUGACCGGAGAGUCGUCUCGGUCAUGUCUGCGUGUCUCCCGAACCCGUAGGGUCUACACACUUAAGGUUCGGUGACGCUAGGGUUGUUGAGAUAUUAGUAUACGGUAACCCGAAAGUUGUUCGGAGUCCCGACUGAGAUCCCGGACGUCAUGAGGAGUUCCGGAAUGGCCCGGAGGGAAGAUUUAUAUAUAGGAAGUCAAGUUUCGGCCAUCGGGAAAGUUUCGGAGAUAAUCGGCAUUGUACCGGGACCACCGGAAGGGUCCCGGGGGUCCACCGGGUGGGGCCACCUAUCCUAGAGGGCCCCAUGGGCUAAAGUGGGAGGGGAACCAGCCCCUAGUGGGCUGGUGCGCCCCCCUUGGGCCUCCGCCUGCGCCUAGGGUUCGAAACCCUAGGGGUGGGGCGCCCCACUUGGCUCUUGGCUUGGGGGGCACUCCACCCCCCUUGGCCGCCGCCCCCUUGGAGAUCCCAUCUCCUAGGGCCGGCGCCCCCCUAGGGGUCCUAUAUAUAGUGGGGGGAAGGGAGGGCAGCCGCACCCUAGCCCCUGGCGCCUCCCUCUCCCUCCCAUGACACUCCUCCCUCUCCCUGAGCUUGGCGAAGCCCUGCCGAGAUCACUGUUGCUUCCACCACCACGCCGUCGUGCUGCUGGAUCUUCAUCAACCUCUCCUUCCCCCUUGCUGGAUCUUCAUCAACCUCUCCUUCCCCCUUGCUGGAUCAAGUUGGAGGAGACGUCUUCCCAACCGUACGUGUGUUGAACGCGGAGGUGUCGUCCGUUCGGCGCUAGGUCAUCGGUGAUUUGGAUCACGACGAGUACGACUCCAUGAACCCUGUUCUCUUGAACGCUUCCACGUGCGAUCUACAAGGGUAUGUAGAUGCACUCCCCUCUCCCUCGUUGCUAGAUGACUCCAUAGAUUGAUCUUUGUGAUGCGUAGAAAAUUUUACAAUUCUGCUACGUUCCCCAACAGUGGUAUCAGAGCUAGGUCUAUGCAUAGUUUCUAUGCACGAGUAGAACAUAAAGCAGUUGUGGGCGUCGAUAUUGUCAAUUUGUUUGCCGUUACUAGUCUUAUCUUGAUUCGGCGGCAUCGUGGGAUGAAGCGGCCCGGACCGACCUUACACGUACGCUUACGUGAGACUGGUUCCACCGAUUGACAUGCACUAGUUGCAUAAGGUGGCUGGCGGGUGUCUGUCUCUCCCACUUUAGUCGGAUCGGAUUCGAUGAAAAGGGUCCUUAUGAAGGGUAAAUAGAAAUUGGCAUAUCACGUUGUGGUUUUGGCGUAGGUAAGAAACGUUCUUGCUAGAAACCUAUAGCAGCCACGUAAAAACUUGCAACAACAAUUAGAGGACGUCUAACUUGUUUUUGCAGCAUGUGUCGUCUGAUGUGAUAUGGCCAAAACGAUGUGAUGAAUGAUAUAUGUGAUGUAUGAGAUUGAUCAUGUUCUUGUAAUAGAAAUCACGACUUGCAUGUCGAUGAGUAUGACAACCGGCAGGAGCCAUAGGAGUUGUCUUAAUUUAUUUAUGAGGUGGAGCUACGGGGGGACGAGCGGGGGCCACGCCCCCCAACCGCUGCGUCGUACAUAAGUUGCGUAGGCUACGUCAGGUAGAUUAGGGGCUACGUCAGGCAGAUUUAGGACUAAUUGCCCCCCCCCUAAGUUUUUUAAGGGGUGAUAAAUAAAUUUAUUCAUCAAAAUCCACAUGAAGUGGGAUACGAAUCUGGUUGUACGGAAUGCCUAACCGGACGUGACGACCGGGACCUCUAGAAAGGGAAAAUUUAGCUAAACCGUGUGCUUCAUAGUUCACAGCACGACCCUCGAAAAUAAAUUUACAUUGGACAUUAAUAGCUCUAAGGCGAAUCUCCCUGAUAAUUGCUCCAUAUCUUCCUCCACUGUUGUUGCCAAUAUCCGCCACAACCUGUUUGCAAUCAGAUGCGAUGACAAAAUGGUGGAUGUUGAGGUCCUCCGCCAGGCACAACGCCUCUCGACAUGCUAUCGACUCCAAAGAUGCCGGAUCAGUGACACCCUCCCUGACCAAGGCCGAAGCCCCAAUAUAAUUCCCCGCUUCAUCUCUGCAAACUGCACCUGCCGCUCUUCCUCUUCUCGCGCGAACGGAUGCAUCAACAUGUAUCUUGUAUGCUCCGGGGGGUGGUUUCUUGGGGUUUUGUCUUUGUGGCCGCGGUUGGCUCACUCCUUGCAGGGGGCAUCGGUUUGAAUUAAUCACACCGAGCUCUGCCAUGAAACUUGUGAUGAAGGAGUGUGUCUGAUGGGGGCUUUGGAAUAUUGCCUCAUGAAUAGCUUUACGUCGAGCAUGCCAAAUCGCCCAAGCAGUGACCGCCAGCAAAGCAAAGCUCUCUUGCGUCAAGCUCUCGAUCAAAGUGAACAACCAGUUUUUUGCAUUAGGUUCUGUGGUCGCCAUGAUUUUAUGCAGCACUUCCUCAUCUCCCAACGCCCAUACACUCCGCGAGGCGUUACACUCCAAUAACGAAUGCCUCCAUGAGUCUUGUACUCCACACAACCCGCAUAGGCUAGAAUCCGCCAUAUGCCGGUGCGCUCGUACAUCGUUUGUAGGCAGCGACUGUUUCGCUAAUCUCCACAAGAACAUUCUGACCUUCCCUGGAACUGAUGUACUCCAUAAGGAUUUCCACGCGCCAGAAUCAGCCCUGGCACUGGACGGUCCUGCCGAUCCCUCGAGCCAAGCCUCUCUUCGCUGUCUAGUUGCAAUGAUCAUCUUAUAUGCUGACCUGACCGAAAAGAUGCCAUGUUUUUCAUAGUGCCAAGCCCAAUAAUCUGACACAUUCCGUGUGCAUAAAGGAAUUUCCAAUAUCAUCUCAGCGUCCAUCGGCAUAAAAGUUGCUUGCACAAGUUGCCUGUCCCAAGAUGCCGUAGCAUUAGAUAUAAGCUCCGAAACCAUUAAAGGAGGGUUUUGUGUUAAGCAUCCAUAUGGCCUGAGCAUCUCGUCCCUUGGGAGCCAAUUGUGUUCCCCCCUAAGUGUGCGCUUAAGGCUUGAAGCCCAGGAACUUUGCAUGUUAAAAGCCCAUGUACUAGCUAGUCAGCCCACACUACACGAAACAAACUACCAGGUAGUUUCGGAAGCUGACGAGGCCACCAGGGCAUCCUCUAUCGAUUGUUUCGGCGUUGUCUCAAAAAAAAAUUGUUUCAGCGCAGACGCAAUACGCGUGGCCGCAAGUUCAACUAGGGCAUCCGCACAACCGAUCAGCGCUGGCGGCGACGACAGUAUACUCCUGCAGUGAGUCCCUUGAUUCCUUUAUUGAUUUAUACUGUGCAACAAUACUGAUGAAUUGAUCCGCAUCUGGCUCGAGAAGGCCAGAAACUUCUUGUUCAGAUGAAGUUAAUUAAGGGUGUCAAUUUCUUGUUUUCUUCUAAAAAAUUGGUACACUAAAUUAGGCAUUCGCUGAUUAUGAUUCUAUCAUCUAACUUUCAUAUUUCACCCUUAGGACAACACAUUAUGGCUCACGCCAGAUCUAAGAGCUAGGUGUAUCAUUGGCUAGAGGCUCAGGUCUAGCCUAUUGCAGUUUUUUAUUAUUCACAAACUGCUAGAUGCUAGUUUCUGUUUUUCAGGCUGAUUAGGUGAUGUACAAACUACCGAUCAAAUAUUCGGGCUCAAGUAAAAUUUACACAACCAGCUAGAAUCGAAAGAGCACCCUAUAAAAUUGUCGACUUUGUUCUAUGGGUUUUACGCAUAAGAGCCACAUUAAACUAAUGAAAAAUCAACAUUUUUAUAGUUGCAACAUACAAAUUAAUCAUGUGUUUCUCUUUGUACGGUCAUUAUAUGAAAAAAAAAAUGUUCAUUGUCUUCUUCGCCCUCCCUAUGGUCAAAUCCUGGCUCCGCCCCUGCCUGCAUGUCAACAUAAACGUCAUGUAAUUACUUUACUUUAUUGCUAAAGCGUUAGCCAUAGUAGUAGAAGUAAUAGAUGACGAGACAACUUCAAGAAGACACGAUGAUGGAGAUCAUGAUGAUGGAGAUCAUGAUGUCAUGCCAGUGACAACGAUGAUCAUGAAGCCCCGAAGAUGGAGAUCAAAAGGAGCAAAUGAUAUUGGCCAUAUCAUGUCACUAUUUGAUUGCAUGUGAUAUUUAUCAUGUUUUGCAUCUUAUUUGCUUAGAACGAUGGUAGCUUAAAUAAGAUGAUCCCUCGUAAUAAUUUCAAGAAAGUGUUCCCCCUAACUGUGCACCGUUGCGAAGGUUCGUUGUUUCGAAGCACCACAUGAUGAUCGGGUGUGAUAGAUUCUAACGUUCGAAUAUAACGGGUGUAAGCCAGAUUUACACACGCAAUACACUUAGGUUGACUUGACGAGCCUAGCAUGUACAGACAUGGCCCCGAAACACGGGAGACCGAAAGGUCGAGCAUGAGUCAUAUAGAAGAUACGAUCAACAUGAAGAUGUUCACCGAUGUUGACUAGUCCGUUUCAUGUGAUGAUCGGACACGACCUAGUUGACUCGGAUCAUGUUUCACUUAGAUGACUAGAGGGAUGUCUAUCUGAGUGGGAGUUCAUUGAAUAAUUUGAUUAGAUGAACUUAAUUAUCAUGAACUUAGUCUAAAAUCGUUACAAUAUGUCUUGUAGAUCAAAUGGCCCACGUUGUCCUCAACUUCAACGCGUUCCUAGAGAAAAUCAAACUAAAAGAUGAUGACAGCAACUAUACGGACCGGGUCCGGAACCUGAGGAUCGUCCUCAUAGCUGCCAAGAAAGAUUAUGUCCUAGAAGCACCGCUAGGUGACGCACCCAUCCCACAGAACCAAGACGUUAUGAACGCUUGGCAGUCACGUGCUGAUGAUUACUCCCUCGUUCAGUGCGGCAUGCUUUACAGCUUAGAACCGGGGCUCCAAAAGCGUUUUGAGAGACACAGAGCAUAUGAGAUGUUCGAAGAGCUGAAAAUGGUUUUCCAAGCUCAUGCCCGGGUCGAGAGAUAUGAAGUCUCCGACAAGUUCUUCAGUUGUAAGAUGGAGGAAAAUAGUUCUGUCAGUGAGCACAUACUCAAAAUGUCUGGGUUACAUAACCGCUUGACUCAGCUAGGAGUUAAUCUCCUGGAUGACACGGUCAUUGACAGAAUCCUUCAGUCGCUUCCACCGAGCUACAAGAGCUUUGUGAUGAACUUCAAUAUGCAGAGGAUGGAAAAGAUCAUUCCUGAGGUAUAUUCAAUGCUGAAAUCAGCAGAGGUGGAAAUCAAAAAGGAACAUCAAGUGUUGAUGGUGAAUAAAACAACUAAGUUCAAGAAAGGCAAGGGUAAGAAGAACUUCAAGAAGGACGGCAAGGGAGUUGCCGCGCCCGGUAAGCAAGCUGCCGGGAAGAAGUCAAAGAAUGUACCCAAGCCUGAGACUGAGUGUUUUUAUUGCAAGGGAAGUGGUCACUGGAAGCGAAACUGCCCCAAAUACUUAGCGGACAAGAAGGCCGGCAACACUAAAGGUAUAUGUGAUAUACAUGUAAUUGAUGUGUACCUUACCAGUACUCGUAGUAACUCCUGGGUAUUUGAUACCGGUGCCGUUGCUCACAUUUGUAACUCAAAGCAGGAGCUGUGGAAUAAGCGGAGACUGGCGAAGGACGAGGUGACGAUGCGCGUCGGGAAUGGUUCCAAGGUCGAUGUGAUCGCCGUCGGCACGCUGCCUCUACAUUUACCUACGGGAUUAGUUUUAAACCUCAAUAAUUGUUAUUUAGUGCCAGCUUUGAGCAUGAACAUUGUAUCAGGAUCUCGUUUAAUUCGAGAUGGCUACUCAUUUAAAUCCGAGAAUAAUGGUUGUUCUAUUUAUAUGAGAGAUAUGUUUUAUGGUCAUGCUCCGCUGGUGAAUGGUUUAUUCUUAAUGAAUCUCGAGCGUAAUGUUACACAUAUUCAUAGUGUGAAUAUCAAAAGAUGUAAGGUUGAUAAUGAUAGUCCCACAUACUUGUGGCACUGCCGCCUUGGUCACAUAGGUGUCAAACGCAUGAAGAAGCUCCAUGCCGAUGGACUUUUGGAGUCUCUUGAUUACGAAUCAUUUGACACAUGCGAAUCAUGCCUCAUGGGUAAAAUGACCAAGACUCCGUUCUCAGGAAUAAUGGAGCGAGCAACCAACUUAUUGGAAAUCAUACAUACUGAUGUAUGCGGUCCAAUGAACGUUGAGGCUCGCGGUGGCUAUCGUUAUGUUCUCACCCUCACUGAUGACUUGAGUACAUAUGGGUAUGUCUACUUAAUGAAACACAAGUCUGAGACCUUUGAAAAGUUCAAGGAAUUUUAGAGUGAGGUUGAAAAUCAACGUGACAGAAAAAUCAAGUUCUUGCGAUCAGAUCGCGGGGGAGAAUACUUGAGUCACGAAUUUGGCACACACUUAAGGAAAUUUGGAAUAGUUUCACAACUCACGCCGCCUGGAACACCUCAGCGUAAUGGUGUGUCCGAACGUCGUAAUCGCACUCUAUUGGAUAUGGUGCGAUCUAUGAUGUCUUUUACCGAUUUACCAUUGUCAUUUUGGGGCUAUGCUUUAGAGACUGCCGCAUUCACUUUAAAUAGGGCUCCGUCGAAAUCCGUUGAGACGACACCGUAUGAAUUAUGGUUUGGGAAGAAACCUAAGCUGUCGUUUCUAAAAGUUUGGGGAUGCAAUGCUUAUGUCAAGAAACUUCAACCUGAAAAGCUCGAACCCAAAUCGGAAAAAUGCGUCUUCAUAGGAUACCCUAAAGAAACUAUUGGGUAUACCGUCUACCUCAGAUCCGAAGGCAAGAUCUUUGUUGCCAAGAAUGGAUCCUUUCUAGAGAAAGAGUUUCUCUCGAAAGAAAUAAGUGGGAGGAAAGUAGAACUCGAUGAAGUAUUACCUCUUGAACCGGUAAGUGGCGUAGCUCAAGAAAAUGUUCCUGAGGUGCCUUCACCGACUAGAGAGGAAGUUAAUGAUGAUGUCAUGAAACUUCAGAUCAAGUUGCUACUAAACUUCGUAGGUCCACAAGGACACGUUCCGCACCAGAGUGGUACGGCAACCCUGUCUUGGGAAUCAUAUUGUUAGGUAAUGGUGAACCUUCGAACUAUGAAGAAGUGAUGGCGGGCCCAGAUUCCGACAAAUGGCUGGAAGCCAUGAAAUCCGAGAUAGGAUCCAUGUAUGAAAACGAAGUAUGGACUUUGACUGACUUGCCCGAUGAUCGGCGAGCCAUAGAAAAUAAAUGGAUCUUUAAGAAGAAGACAGACGCGGAUGGUAAUGUAACCAUCUAUAAAGCUCGGCUUGUCGCUAAGGGUUAUCGACAAGUUCAAGGGGUUGACUACGAUGAUACUUUCUCACCCGUAGUGAAGCUAAAGUCCAUCCGAAUCAUGUUAGCAAUUGCCGCAUUCUAUGAUUAUGAGAUAUGGAAAAUGGACGUCAAAACGGCAUUCCUUAAUGGUUUCCUUAAGGAAGAAUUGUAUAUGAUGCAGCCGGAAGGUUUUGUCGAUCCUAAGAAUGCUGACAAGGUGUGCAAGCUCCAACGCUCGAUUUAUGGGCUGGUGCAAGCAUCUCGGAGUUGGAACAUUCGUUUUGAUGAGAUGAUCAAAGCGUUUGGGUUUACGCAGACUUAUGGAGAAGGCUGCAUUUACAAAAAAGUGAGUGAGAGCUCUGUAGCAUUUCUCAUAUUGUAUGUGGAUGACAUACUGUUGGUGGGAAAUGAUAUAGAAUUCUUGGAAAGCAUAAAGGCCUACUUGAACAAGUAUUUUUCAAUGAAGGAUCUUGGAGAAUCUGCUUAUAUAUUAGGCAUCAAGAUCUAUAGAGAUAGAUCGAGACGCCUCAUUGGUCUUUCACAGAGUACGUACCUUGACAAGAUAUUGAAGAAGUUCAAAAUGGAUCAGUCAAAGAAGGGGUUCUUGCCUGUAUUGCAAGGUACGAGAUUGAGCACGGCUCAAUGCCCGACCACGGCAGAAGAUAGAGAAAAGAUGAGUGUCGUCUCCUAUGCCUCGGCCAUAUGGUCUAUCAUGUAUGCUAUGCUGUGUACCAGACCUGAUGUAAACCUUGCCGUAAGUUUGGUAGGAAGGUACCAAAGUAAUCCCGGCAUGGAACACUGGACAACGGUCAAGAAUAUUCUGAAGUACCUGAAAAGGACCAAGGAAAUAUUUCUUGUUUAUGAAGGUGACGAAGAGCUCGUCGUAAAGGGUUACGUCGAUGCUAGCUUCGACACAGAUCUGGAUGACUCUAAGUCACAAACCGGAUACGUGUAUAUUUUGAAUGGUGGGGCAGUAAGCUGGUGCAGUUGCAAGCAAAGCAUUAUGGCGGGAUCUACAUGUGAAGCGGAGUACAUGGCAGCCUCGGAGGCAGCACAAGAAGCAGUCUGGGUGAAGGAGUUCAUUACCGACCUAGGAGUCAUACCCAAUGCGUCGGGCCCGAUGACUCUCUUCUGUGACAACACUAGAGCUAUUGCCCUUGCCAAGGAGCCCAGGUUUCACAGGAAGACCAGGCAUAUGAAGCGUCGCUUCAACUCCGUUCGUGAAAGUGUUCAAAAUAGAGACAUAGAGAUUUGUAAAGUACAUACGGACCUGAAUGUGGCAGAUCCGUUGACUAAACCUCUCCCAAGAGCAAAACAUGAUCAACACCAGAACUGCAUGGGUGUUCGAUUCAUCACAAUGCAACUAGACUAUUGACUCUAGUGCAAGUGGGAGACUGUUGGAAAUACGCCCUAGAGGCAAUAAUAAAAUGGUUAUUAUUAUAUUUCUUUGUUCAUGAUAAUUGUCUAUUGUUCAUGCUAUAAUUGUGUUAUUCGGAAAUCGUAAUACAUGUGUGAAUACAUAGACCACAACACGUCCCUAGUGAGCCUCUAGUUGACUAGCUCGCUGAUCAAAAGAUAGUCAUGGUUUCCUGACUAUGGACAUUGGAUGUCAUUGAUAACGGGAUCACAUCAUUAGGAGAAUGAUGUGAUGGACAAGACCCAAUCCUAAGCAUAGCUCAAAGAUCGUGUAGUUCGUUUGCUAUAGUUUUUCCGAAUGUCAAGUAUCAUUUCCUUAUACCAUGAGAUUGUGCAACUCCCGGAUACCGUAGGAGUGCUAUGGGUGUGCCAAACGUCACAACGUAACUGGGUGACUAUAAAGGUACACUACAGGUAUCUCCGAAAGUGUCUGUUGGAUUGGCACGAAUCGAGACUGGGAUUUGUCACUCCGUAUGAUGGAGAGGUAUCUCUGGGCGCACUCGGUAAUGCAUCAUCAUAAUGAGCUCAAUGUGACCAAGUGGUUGAUCAUGGGAUCAUGCAUUACGGUACGAGUAAAGUGACUUGGCGGUAACGAGAUUGAACGAGGUAUUGGGAUACCGACGAUCGAGUCUCGGGCAAGUAACGUACCGAUUGACAAAGGGAAUUGUAUACAGAUUGAUUGAAUCCUCGACAUCAUGGUUCAUCCGAUGAGAUCAUCGAGGAGCAUGUGGGAGCCAACAUGGGUAUCCAGAUCCAGCUGUUGGUUAUUGACCGGAGAGUCGUCUCGGUCAUGUCUGUGUGUCUCCCGAACCCGUAGGGUCUACACACUUAAGUUUCGGUGACGCUAGGGUUGUUGAGAUAUUAGUAUACGGUAACCCGAAAGUUGUUCGGAGUCUCGGAUGAGAUCCCGGACAUCACGAGGAGUUCCGGAAUGGUCCUAAGGUGAAGAUUUAUAUAUAUGAAGUCAAGUUUCGGCCAUCGGGAAAGUUUCGGGGGUGAUCGGUACCGGGACCACCGGAAGGGUCCCGGGGGUCCACCGGGUGGGCCCACCUAUCCUGGAGGGCCCCAUGGGCUAAAGUGGGAGGGGAACCAGCCCCUAGUGGGCUGGUGCGCCCCCCUUGGGCCUCCCCCUGCGCCUAGGGUUGGAAACCCUAGGGGUGGGGGGCGCCCCACUUGGCUUGGGGGGCACUCCACCCCCCUUGGCCGCCGCCCCCCUUGGAGAUCCCAUCUCCUAGGGCCGGAGCCCCCCUAGGGGUCCUAUAUAUAGUGGGGGGAAGGGAGGGCAGCCGCACCCUAGCCCCUGGCACCUCCCUCUCCCUCCCGUGACACUCCUCCCUCUCCCUGAGCUUGGCGAAACCCUGCUGAGAUCACCGUUGCUUCCACCACCACGUCGUCGUGCUGCUGGAUCUUCAUCAACCUCUCCUUCCCCCUUGCUGGAUCAAGUUGGAGGAGACGUCUUCCCAACCAUAUGUGUGUUGAACGCGGAGGUGUCGUCCGUUCGGCGCUAGGUCAUCGGUGAUUUGGAUCACGACGAGUACGACUCCAUCAACCCCAUUCUCUUGAACGCUUCCGCGCGCGAUCUACAAGGGUAUGUAGAUGCACUCUCAUCUCCCUCGUUGCUAGAUGACUCCAUAGAUUGAUCUUGGUGAUGCGUAGAAAAUUUUAAAAUUCUGCUACGUUCCCCAACAGGCAUUGUUUAGAUGUGGCGAGAUGGGAAGCUAAAGUUGUGCUCAGAUUUUUUUUCUAAGCCGGCAAUAGUGACGCCUUUUGGCAUUGUUACCUUGUUGAAGGAGUCAUCGAUGUUAUUCUUGCCUACCUGCUGCCUGCUACUCCAAUGGGAACCCUAGGUCUAGUUAAUCUCUGAUCAGAUGAUGGUGUUAAUAGUGUCGUUUUCUCUCUUGGGAGCAUCGUUUUUGAGCUGCCUUGAUUAGGGGGGACCAGUGAAUUUGCUAGGUUCACGCAACUGUUGUUGCUCCAAUGUCUCGCCGGUGCCCUAUUUUGGGUGGUUAAGGUAUGAGGUAGAGCGUGGCGACGGGUGUGAAUCCUUUGUUGAGAUGUCGCGUUACAGAUGGUGCGUGAUACUUUGUCCGUGAACAAAAGACCUUGGACACAUAAUGGAUCAGGACUACUUUAAAAUCUAUAAGGCCGAAGUUGAAAAUCAAUUAGAGAGAAGAUCAAGCAUCUUAGGCCAGAUCGUUGUAGCGAGUAUUUUCCUAAAGUAUUUGAUGAAUUUUGUGAGGAACGCAGUAUUAUUCAUCAGAGGACGCCUCCUUAUUCAGCGCAACCAAACAGAGUAGCUUUGUCCAUUGGCAUCCGGUGGCUGGCGGUGCAUGGGGUUGUGAUGGCAGCAGUUGGCAGUGAUGCUCAUCGGUGGCGAGGUGGCGAAGUGGUGACACGUGGUGGGGGGAGGUGGUGGCACGUCACGCGUGAAGGCCUGAUCUGGGCGCUUACAGGGUCGUGACUGAGGAGUGUGGUGGGCGGUUGCUCCGGCAGUGAUGGCGUUCGGGCGGUGAUGGUGGAGACGGUUGAGGAUGACAUUGUUUAGAUGUGGCGAGAUGGGAAGCUAAAGUUGUGCUCAUAUUUCUUUCUGAGCCGGCGAUAGUGAUGCCUUUUGGCAUCGUUACCUUGUUGAAGGAGUCAUCGAUGUUAUUCUUGCCUGCCUGCUACUCCAAUGGGAACCCUAGGUCCAGUUAAUCUCUGAUCGGAUGAUGAUGUUAAUAGUGUCAUUUUUCUUUUGGGAGCAUCGUUUUCGAGCUGCCUUGAUUAGGGGGGACCAGUGAAUUUGCUAGGUUCACGCAGCUGUUUUUGCUUCAAUGUCUCGCCGGUGCCCUAUUUUGGGUGGUUAAGGUACGAGGUAGAGCAUGGCGACGGGUGGUGAAUCCUUUGUUGAGAUGUCGCGUUACAGAUGGUGCGUGGUACUUUGCCCGUGAUAAUCACGGCCUUGGAGGGAUAGUGACAACUUGUGGCGUAUCACUCGGGGUGCCCAGAUUUACCACUAACAAACACUUGUGACGAAAGCAGGAUUGUCAGAUCGCCUCCAAGGUGUGAUUUCGAUGGUGGUGUCUACUCUUGCCCUGCCAUCAAUGGCUUCGUGGUAGGCUCCUUGCUAGUUGUGUGCAUGACUUUCAGCUCAUGUGGAUAUCACACCUGGACCAUAUGCGCUUACAUCAUUUUUGAUGGCUACAACUGCUCGAUGAGGAUCAAUGUUGCAUGUUGCUCUUCUCCCCCUUUUAUAUAUUUUUCCUCCACCUAGGCAUAGCAUUGGCCUUCUAUGGCUUUGCUAUUUGAUGAUAAGAAAAUCUCAGGACCUAGAUAUUCAUUUUGUAUAAUUGAACCUUUUCAAACUGUUUCUUUUUAGAACAAAAAAAACUUAUGCCAAAAUACCGGAUACGAAGGAAAACAAAAGACCUUGGACACAUAAUGGAUCAGGAAGCACGAUUUCUACGCCCCCCAACCCCCACCAAAACCUCCCACAUAAGGGUUGCUUGUUAAUGGUUGAUCAAGAUUGAUGUAUUCCCCCUGUGAAAUUAGAAGUUUUGCUCCAUCUAAUGAAAACGCCAUUUUUGAAGGAAAAAAAAUCAGGUGCUUAUAACUUAUUUGGAUUAAUUCCAACUUGGAUCAUUUCAUCGUGCUGAGUCCAUGGGAGUUCCCAUUUACCUUCGUAGAACAAAAUCAAGAUAAAAUAAUAAAAUGUAAUGAAACUUGAAGACUAUGCAAUGCUGACAUUAAAAUGCUUGAAAGAAGGUACUAUUAAUUCCUAAAUCCUACGUUCCCCCCUCCCCCGCGCCGCCCCUAGCGGGCGUCUCGGGGGGCGAUUUCCCUCCCGUCGGCGUAACCCCCCUCUCUCCAUUCCCCCUUGCCGCCGCACGAGGCUGGUGCCGGGCCAGGCCUGGGGCGCGGUCGGGGACUGCAGCGGCGGGGCCUACUCUACUCCGAUCUGCAUCGGAGAGUCUCGGAUCUGGGCGGCGGCCCCUGGCGAGGCCCCCUGUCUCCUGCGGCGGGCAGUGGGGUUGGCGUGGUGCCGGCGAUCUGGUCGGGUGGCCGACGGAUCUCCGGUGGGCUGGGGCCUUGCGUGGCUGCCUUGGCGGCUGGCGGCACCAGAUCUGCCUGCUGGCCAUCUUCCUUGCUCGGUGCGCUUCUCCUGCGAGGGUCCCUGGGCGUGCUAGCUGGCCUGCCUCUGGGAUGCGGGCGAUUUUGGUGGUCGGGAUCCAGAUCGGGGGAAACCCGGGUCAGCUCCGGCCGGCCGCGACAACGACGACGCCCGCGGGCGCCGAUUUCUUCAUGGAGACGUUUGUCAAGGUCUGCCCUUUCACUCCUCACCACCUAGCUUGUCGGGUGAAAACCUAACUCCGGUGGGCGGCGGCGGCGUCUUUGGAGCCGCGACCUUCUUGAAGGCGUCGCCUUGAGGGCUGGGUGGUGGCGGGCGCUGUUUGGGGUCGGUGACAGCAGCCGAUGGCGACGCCGGGGAGGUCCGCUGUAGAGUGCAUUUCAGAUUUGCAUUAACAUUCUUCAGACACACGGUGUAGCGAAAAUGCGAAACUACUGAACUAGCUAGCAGCAGGAACGCAUAAUUAAGUUACUAACCAUAUCUUGCCAGAGAGAGCGGUGCCAAACAAGGGCCACGCCGGGGAGGUCCGCUGUAGAGUGCAUUUCAGAUUUGCAUUAACAUUCUUCAGACACACGGUGUAGCGAAAAUGCGAAACUACUGAACUAGCUAGCAGCAGGAACGCAUAAUUAAGUUACUAACCAUAUCUUGCCAGAGAGAGCGGUGCCAAACAAGGGCCACGCCGGGGAGGUCCGCUGUAGAGUGCAUUUCAGAUUUGCAUUAACAUUCUUCAGACACACGGUGUAGCGAAAAUGCGAAACUACUGAACUAGCUAGCAGCAGGAACGCAUAAUUAAGUUACUAACCAUAUCUUGCCAGAGAGAGCGGUGCCAAACAAGGGCCACGCCGGGGAGGUCCGCUGUAGAGUGCAUUUCAGAUUUGCAUUAACAUUCUUCAGACACACGGUGUAGCGAAAAUGCGAAACUACUGAACUAGCUAGCAGCAGGAACACAUAAUUAAGUUACUAACCAUAUCUUGCCAGAGAGAGCGGUGCCAAACAAGGCGUUGAUGGGGUCGGCAGGGAAGGUGCAAAUGCUGUAGAUACGUGUCUCUCUGUCAUGUGCGGAGAAACCCAUGGCAGAACAAGUGUGAUCGAUGAACUUGACGGCGCGGUAGGUUCGGCUUGGCAUCACCAUGAUGAUCGCCAUGUCGUGUGACCAUCCUAUGGCCUGGACCCUGGAUAGACGCAUCGCAGACGCUGCCGUCGAAGAACUCCACUAGAACUUUGGUACCCUCAACGACCAGUGGCGCUCCAGGGCCGUCGCCGGUGGGACGGAAACUGGCGAAGGUGUGGGCGACGGAAAACACCAGAGUGAAUCGGUCGCAGGAAUGGAGGAUGCUUCCGGUGCCAUAGCACACCGUCGUCGGGGGCUUUUCCACUUUCUUGCCGGCGCUGCUCUCCCCCUCCUUCUUCCUUUUCUUGCCGCCGCCGCCCUCCCCCUUGUCCUCUUCCUCUUCCUCUCCCGUGCGCUGCUUCCCACCGUCCUGGUUCCCCUCGCCCCCUAGCUCUGGGUGACUGGGUCGGAGGGCUCCCUGAAGGCCCUGAGGCUCACCACGGACUCGACGUGCUUCUCCACGAGUGCUCGGACCACGCGGCUGGUCUCCUCAUCGCUGCCCAUCGAAUCGAUCGCCCUCUCGCUGCAGGAAACGUCCGGAUCGGAAAGAAAAAAAAUCUCUGCAGAACAGAAAGGAGCCUUUUUUUUCUCUCAGCACUAGUAUAAGAUUGAAAGAAAGCAAGCAGGAUCUCUUCAACAAACAUGAGGAAGGCGAAUUAAAUUACGAGGCAGUCCGACGGCGGAAGUCGAAUCUAGCGGCUGGCUUCCUCCCGUUGCCUGUUCUCUCCGGCCACAAGACGUUGGGGGCGAACAAUCUCUGCACAGACCAGCUAGCCGCACUCGGUGUUAAGAUGGGAAGGAAACGAGCCAGAUCUCUUCAAGACUUCAAGAAACAAAGGAGCAUUUCUCUGAACAAAGGAGCGGCAAUGCGGUGGGAAGAUUGGAAGGGAUGGAACCAGAUCUUCGAAAAACAAGAGAAAACGAAGCAAAUUUACCAAGCACGCCCACGCUGCUGAGCGGCUCUCUGUCCGCCUCCCCGCCUAGCUUCUUGAAACAAACAAAGACACGGGUCGGUCAAGGACAAGUGCUCGUCUCCCUGGUCAAACUGGUCUCCGUGGGGGGUGGUAUACAGCUACAGGAGUACAGGGUUCCACAGAGGAUUACUACUUCUUUUGGUAGCCCUUUAGCAACUGCUCCGGUUAAAGCCUGCUUGCCUUUCAUGUGCAAGGCGGGUGGACGUUUGUUUUGUUUUGGAGGGAGGGUAGGAUUCAAUUUGGUCUUCCCCGCCCUUCAGUCUAGGGCCGCUUUCAUUCAAAGGAUUUGCAAAGGAAAAUUUUGGAGCAUUCCAAUCGGUAGGAUUUUUUUCCUGGGAUAGUGUUUGAUUCUUCAAUCAAUGAAAAAUGUUUCUUAGAGCAACUCCAAGUGCCCAUUCUAACGGACGCGCGCAUUGUUCUUCUUUUGUCUAUUUGGAUCGGCAGCCCGCUUGACGUCGGUCUUGUUUUUGUUUUGAAUCGACCGUGUGCCCAACGCGCACUACCCAUUUCAUAUCCGCGCUUAAAUUUAAAAGGCCAACGGUCAUAGAUCAUGCCACCGGCCAUGCCGGCGCCAUGCCAGUGGCCGACAUACAAUGCCAGCCUUCAAAAAACCCACCACACAGUUUAUGUUGGCGCACUUGCCAACGGCCAGCACACAAAAAGGGGCGGGUAUUCGACCAAGCCAUCUCGACCGCGGUCAUGCCAACACAAGCCGACAUACAAAAAGGGAUGGUGCUCUCCGCCAUAGAUCACUAGUCAUCGAACUUGAGCAUGUCGGCAUGCAUCUUCUCGAACCAUGGCCUCUUCCUCGGCGACACAGUGUUCAGGUCCACCUUCAUGAUUUCCACCCCUGUCAUCAUCCUAGCUAGCGAGCGCCACUUCUUCGAGGCGUUGUUGUGGAGCUUCAGUGCAUCCACCUAGGAUCUUGCAUUGGAUCACCUGCGGCCCCUCGUGUUAUUGUCCCCUUCUAUGCGACCUGAUAAUCUCUUCUUCUUGCAUUGUGAGUUGUCCUGCAACAUUCCCGUUUUUGCUGGAUCCUCUAUUAUCGCCAACUCGGGGUUGUGAGUGUCCUCCAUUUACACAAAGCCAUGGGUUGAGAUAUUUUUUUGGAGGCCUCUCUGUGAUCCUGUCACUCCUCCGCUACUUCACACCAACCUCUUCCUGGUGCUAAUUAACCCUCUCUUUGUGCAUGCUCGAUGGGCUGGCGUCUCGCCCCCUCCGCCAUCCUCAUCUUGCCACAUGCAAGACCGCCCUAAUGUUGGGUGCUCGAUGUCUAGGGGUUGGCAAUGGCACAACUCCCUGGUGGUGGAACCAUGCGUUAUCCCAUGUCAUUGGCUUCGAUGUUGUUGCUGCUCGUGUGCUCUCACGAUGACCUCUGAGUUUUUCACCGUGUUGUCUUGCAAGUGUUGCUUCGUAGAUAGUUCAGCAUAACAUGUGCUGCUUCACCAACCACCUAAUUUUUAGGUUGUUGGUGUUUGCAUUGUGUUGUAAUUAUGUAUGGGGAGUUUUGUUUUUCCUAUUCUUUUUGACCUGGUUUCCCUCAUAAACCGGAUCAUUUUCCUUCAAAUAUAGAUCAAUAUAUAUUCAGGUGGGAUCCUCCGCACAUUGACAUGUUCAAAAAGAUUGUUUUUCUCUUGCUUAUUUCUGGUAAAAAAAACUGCUGAAGAAGAUUUGAUGUACUAUUUGUCAAGGAUUAGUACUUGAUGCCUUUGAUGAAUGGAGUGAUGUAUCAGAUUUUUGGGAAGGUUGCAGAUCUCAAGACUUGUGUUCAUGGUGAUUCUUUUCAUGAUCUAAUCCUUCUUCAUGGUUCAAACAAGAUUUUGUGUACUAAUUUCGUGUUCAUGACAUGCUGAAGAAAAUUAGUUAUAUUUUUGUUCAAGGUUCAUGUUCACAUCCAGACCAUUCUUGAGCCAAUGGUAAAAAUAAUAAUUAUUUUUUUCAAAAUGUUUUUUUUAAACGGAUAAAAAAGAAUUAUUUAUGAUUGUAGAACCGUUCAUGCUGUAGCCAGUAGGCCGAGACAGAUUUCUUGAUAAAAUUGUAGCAUGAAAAAAAUAUUUUUUUUCUCGAAUAUGCACGAACGUGCAUAUUAUAUAUUAAAGAAGAAAGGUAAAGGUUGCCUCCACCAGAAAAAAAAAUGUUCUGAUGUUGAUAAAAAAAACUUGUAACGUACAAAUCCACCUGUUCUGAAUAUUCUUGCAUCCUUUGUUAUGCAAUAAUAAUUGUGUUCUAUGAACGACAAUUCCGGAGUUCAGUUCAUCCAAUCCAUAGGAACACAGAAAACAGAAGAACACAUGUUUGAUGUUUCCUGUUUCAUGCUAAAACAUGCGUAGCUCUGUGGCCACCACUUUUGUGCCGAUCUGACCACACAGCCUACAAAAUACAGAAGACUGUGCACUGCCGUGGCCGAAAGGCGAAAGCCUCCCAGUUUCCGUGUUCAACCACCCAUACAAGUGUACUGUAGCAGUAGCUCACGUAUACGUACGUACUUCCUCCGUUCGGAAUUACUUGUCGCGGAAAUGGAUGUAUCUAGACGUAUUUUAGAUGUUAAUGAAGUAAGCAAACAUAUAAUCUACAGUAACGGACAGAACCUAAAUAGUUAAGCAAAAAUGUCUUGCUCAUGAUCACCUCUCACUCCCGAUUAGAACACGCGACGUACGAGAUUACAAAAAAAACAUGAAACGACCACGUCGGAGCUGGACCAAAGGGAACAAGUCACUGAGAGGGAGAGAGAGGGGAUGGAUGGAGAAGGUGAGCCCGGAAUACGAGCAUGAGCUGCAGCUGUGCCGUAAUGGCGUCAGAGAAUCAACUAGCUAGCUUUUUUUUAGACAAAUCAACUAGCUAGCUUUUUUUUUGAGCAUCAGUACAGACACAAGCGCUUAUAUACAUGUGCAUACACUCACCCCUAUGAACGCACACACGCACACCCUACCCCUAUGAGCACCUCCGAAAGACUGAGCCGGCAUAUCAUUUUGAGAUUUACGAAGUCACCAUAGGCGCCUUGUCGUCGACGGGAACGUCUCCUCCCACUGAAAGCGUAUCGCCGGAAAUCCCGAAAUAAAUCCAGGAAUAAUGCGAGCACCAGGAUUUGAACCCUGGUGGGUUGGGGAUACCAAGCCUACGGGCCAGGCGUCGGCCCGGUCUUCCGCUGGACCCAUGUCCAAUCGCCAACUUUACGUCCUGUCAAAGUAUUGUUGCAUAUUUUUUUUCCUGAAAAUUCAAGAGAGAAGGAAACGCUCUCAUUUUCCUUGCCAAAGUUUUUGCAGAUCACGGAGUAUCUCCGGAGCCAAACCUCAAAACUGCCCCUCCGUCUUGGCCCUUAUCUUUGGUGGAGUUGCAGCUAUGGAGGUGUGGCAGCAGGAGAUGAUGACUGAGAGGGAUCUCGGUCGCUAGGGUCGGAGGUGAGUAUAUAUGAUUGGUCUCCUCCAUUGAUUUAGCCGCUCCUCAUUUCAUCCAAGGGUUCCAGGGGAGCCAAAUCCUCUCCCAAAACAUGUGUUGGUCGUCAAGUAACACGUUGGAACAAAUUGUGAUGAAAUCAAAGCAAAAUCGACGAAGUUAUGACUGGUUUACUAGUGUCGUCGAGCUCUGGUGCCAGCGCAGGUAUGACCAUUUGCGCUCGUACCAAUGGUCAUCGAACACUCUGGCCUCCAGGAGCUAUUUCUUAUCUUGGUCAUCUUUUCUUCAUACAAACUACGAUUUUGAAGUUUUUGGCUCGUUGGAUUCCUCUAGAAAAAAACCCAAUUCACCUAAGGCAUUGGAUCUUCAAUUCAAAUACUUUAAUAAAUGUCAAAACACUAAACACUCAAUAGGGCCCUAAUCUAGUGCCUAGAACUUCUCCAGGUUUCCCCGACUUGGUGCUUUUAAUGUGCCAAGUCCAUGAACAUACCGAUACACCUACAUAGACCCUAAAACAAAGGAAAACUAAUAAAAACUAAAUAAAAAUAAAAGUUGUGAAAUGAACAUAGUAAAACGAGUAAAGACCAGAAACUAUGUAUUAAGGACAUGAAUAAGUGCAAGAUGGUACGAUAGAGGGAUUGGCACUAAAGUAUACUCUAAAAAGUAUGCAUAGAAUCCACUCAUCAGUGCCACAAAGGUAGUGAAUGCGCCGGGGGAUUUCGGAUAUGCGUCUUUGAGCAGCACAAUGCCGACCGUGGCGCCAGACUCUUUCCGCCUGACUUAGCUUGGAUAGAGGGGAAGAAAAGCAAAAAGAAUGCGACCGGUGGCUGGGAACGGUUAUGGCCGGCAGAGAGUGGUCCUAAAAUUGGUGAAGAGAGAGUGGUGCCAGGGACAGACAGUGAGGGUUUCAUUAUGGAGAGGUAAUGAACACUUGAAUAUAACAGGACACAAACAAUGCAAUACUGACCGGCGGAAAAAAACGAAGGGUCUAUUUGAAUGAACUACACAUAUGGAUCAAUUUUAGCCGUCGGUCAGUGAGUACCUUUGGUCUUAUUUGACCAUCGAUAAUAGCUAUCACUGAUCGUUCAAUUUUAGACCGGUUUGUGAUAACCAUCUUGCGUAGCCCAAAACUUGUUAUUACCAACACCACUUUGGUGGCCAUUUAGUGUAUGUGCACAUUAGUGACGCAUGGCCAGUGGACGGUCAGUGAUGAGGGGUCAGUAGUGUUCGAAUCUACGGGUUAGUUUUUUAUUCAAAUUAUGCAAACUAGAGGGCAAAAACAUUGCAAAGGUGCUCGAAAAAUAUAUACAUUUGAGAUGUAUCACCUCCUCUAAGAUUACAUUAUUGCUUGUCCUCAUUCCUCACGCAGUUUAGUUGACAAACUGAUGCGACAAAGAAAACUUCUACUAGCACUUUUAUUUAGUGUAUGCAUAGAAAUUUAGUCCAUGAUCACUUUACAUCUAUCUUAUGAGAGUAACAGAAUGAAUAAAAAAGUCUUAAGAACUAUGUUCUCCCGCGAUAAGAUUUCAAUCAAUUAGGAAGUUAUAAUAAAGCAUCUCAAAUACCAACAUUGAUCGAAAAAUUGACAUAAUGAAAAUAUGACAACAUGGUAUCCCGCUAGUAUUUUUGUGAGCAAAACAUAAAUGCAAGACAACAAUGAAAUUCAAGAGGUGACUACAUAUUAUGAUUUAGUAUAGAGCAUCACAUUCAUGCAUCACAUAAUGUUACUUAGACCAAAUGCAUCUUAAACUAAGAAUGAUAACUAUGCUCUCUGAGUUGGUGCUUUGGGAAGGUCAUGACACAACAUAAAAGUAAAUAGAUAAACCCUUCACAAAGGGGAGCAUGGAUUGCCAUGCGCUUGUUUUAUAAAAAUUGGCAAACUGGUGACACCAUAUUUUGGAAGGUUGUUUUUAGAAUUUCAAGAGUGGAAAGGCAUGUUUAACCACCAUUCUUCUUGUAAUAACUGCUUUGGAACUUUGCACUUUGAACUUUAUUUGCUUGCUUCCCUUUGCUAGGAUUUUUGGAAUUUUUUAAUAGACUUGAUUUAUUUGAUCGCAACCAUUACAAGAAGAAUAGAAAACUACUCAUUUCCCUCCUUCAGAAACUUAGACAACAAAAUAGGGGCGCGACAAUGGCGAUUUACUUGCAAUGAUUUCUUCAAGCCAUGAUGAGUAGGUAUAGUGGAAUAUUUAUGGAAAUAAGCUUUGGGCUAGGAUUUUGGAUGCACAAGCAGUAUGUUAGCUUAGUACGGGUGAAGGUUAGCAAUAGACUGGGAAGCGACCAACUAGACAACAUAUUCAUCAUAGUCAUGCAUUUUGAAUAAGUAAGCAUUAAGUGGCAACAUGAACAUGAUGUUAUAUUCUAAAUUCAUAACACCUUUGAAGUUGAAAUGAAAUUGAUCAGAUAUGUGUAAACAUGUCCCAAGUGAAGCUAGUUGAUUACUUCAGACAUGAGUACCAUGUUGACAUACCAUAUUAAACCACAUUUUAAUGAAUAAUACCGCAAGAUUGAUAACAUAUGAAGAAGUACUGCUUGCAUUGAGCUGAUCUUGAGUACAUGCAUAAUACUAAGAAUAACUUACCUAAUAGUCCAAGAACUAACAAAAAUAACUGGCCAUUGUUCCUUAGGUAAUGCCUAAGUGAAAAGCAUGAUCAGUACAAUGGCUGCCACUAGAAGGAAUCCUGCUACUCAUCCAACUAGGAGUAUGAAACAAAUAAUCGCACCAACUAGGAGUCCACAUCGAAGCUUCUUAAAGGUUUCUAUCUGGGUUGGCAUCUCAUUGUUUUGGAUGUGCAUAACAUUUAUUUAUAUAUACUUGCUGCUCAUCUAUCUUGACUUGCUUCUCAUCCAUCUUGACUUACUUCUCUCUUGCGUCUGCCAACGCAUCAUCCAACUGGUCUCUAAGUGAUCAAGUACAGACCAACUGGGUUAUGCAAGGCAUUAAGAGAUUGACCCAUAUCCAUGUGUGGCAAGAGAAUGUUUUCUGCAUGUGUGCACACAUGAUGCCAUGAGAAACGAGAGUUGCAUGCGAAAUUGCAAAAUAAUUUAUUACCAGAGAGACGUGUUUUGUUAUACCUUGGUUACCUUACCUAUACAGAUGAGGAAUUAUUGAAUUGCAUUCCUUCAUGAUUCAUGUGUAUGAUGUUCUCUUCACAAAAAGACAUUUGCAACCACGAAGCAGCACAAGUGGGCUUCCUGUGUUGGGGAAGGGGGGGGGGGCGCUUUGCUGCCAGUGGUGUACGAAUGCAGCUGGAUCCGGCGGACAAAGUGGUAUUGCAACGCGAUGAUUUGCUGGACAACACCGACUUCAUAACCCAUGACGGAGAGCUCAUGGCCAAGACAAUGUAUGGGAACACCGCGGGAAAAAGGGGGAGGGGGGAAAACCACGGGGGAGACUUGUAUGAGUUCUCACAUUUAGGUGAGAUCGUGAUACCAAACCCAAAAAUUCAUAUUUAAGCAUUUCAAAAAAUCUAAUGUUAUUUGACAACAUUCAUGUGAUGUCUACAACUCCUAAAAAAUAAGCUCAAAACUUGACGUACAUCUAGAGAUUCAAAAAAGAUAAAUUUGAAUGUGAAUAGUGGCAGCUUUGAGUGAAUAGUAAUUUGACACUAUUGACAUCCGAUUUUUGUUUUUUUGUUUCUAUUAAUGUAAUUGAAUUAGGAGCUAAUUUUUUUUGGAUUGUAAAUCAAACAUUGUUGUGUGCCUAAUUUUUUUUGAGAAUGUUUUAGUUUGCAUCUUUUAAAAAUAUCGAUCUCAUUGGUCUCAUCUAAUGUAAGAUCUCCCACAAGUCUCCCCCGGGAAUCCAAUGGUAGGAAGAACUGGUAAGAGAGAUAGAGAGGGGGGGGGGAGAAGAUAAUUUAAGUGACAUGAGAGGAUGAAGAGAAGUUAAGGGAGAUAAGAGAAGAAGGCUCAGCUCAAUUAUUGUGCCGACCAAUUAGCGCCAUGCGGUAAGAAGGGAACUCUACUAGUAUACUACUCCCUCCGUCUCAAAAUAAGUGUCUCAACUUUGUACUAAUUCUAGUGUAAAAUUAUAUUAAGAUUGAGACAGUUAUUAUGGGAUGGAAGGAGUAUGUAUUGGCAACAAUUAGUUAAAUCGAGCGCCGCUACUAUAAUGAAGUCGAAGGAGGCUACGUUGGUGCUCCACUGAUCGCCCUUCAAAACCAGAAUUUUAGGCUUAUUUAUCUACUUUUUCAAACGUAAAUGUUAUAUAUUCUUCUCAUUGGAUACCAAUUACAUAUAGGAUACCCGAUGGGUAUGGAUUGGGUGUCCAUUUGUGUCCAUGGGUAUUGAAGUAGGUGGAUAUAGAAGGGUUUUAUGGGUAUGGAUUUGUGAAGAAGGGGGUUGUACCCAACAUACCCUACUCAUUGCCAUCCCUACGGGCACUGGCGGAGCUUUAGCAAGGCCGAAUGGGCCGUGGCCCGCCCAACCCAAUUUUUUUUAUGUAGUAUACAUCUACUCCUGGGCCUUAAAACAGCAGCCCAUAUGAUAUUUUCUUCUUGUUGGCCCGCCCAUGUUUAGGCUGCAAGCUCCGCCACUGCCUACGGGGGAGGCGACAACCUUGGCGAGGUGGCGAACUUGGAGGAGCGGCGGAUAGGAAAGGCGCCGGCGGCAGGUGUGGAGGAGUUCGCGCAGUGGGGCAACAAGGCGACAAGUGUGGAAGAGCUAGGGCAAUAUUAGGCACCGCACGUCUAAUGCAAUGGGAAGACGAAAUGGAAGGGGCACGAAAGGUAUGUCGAGUUCCGCUCUUUGGGUACUUGGCAAAUGUGACCCUGCCGUCACGGAGCAACCAGACAUGAAUGGCAGGGACACAUGGCACAUUUUUACGGUGUGCCACCUUUUGGGCUCUUGGAGAAGACUACAUAGGCCGAGCAUUUUCCUUUUAUCGAGUUUUUUAAGAGAAGAUCUCGGCAAAGGAAGACCUCUGCCGAGUCUCAACAUUUGCUUGGUGUACAACUCGUCAAAGUGGAUAUUUACCAAAGCACGUGAAAACAAUAAUUUUUCAAUAGUGAGUGGGGAUCAAAACAAAGUCUCCAUACGGAUGGGACGACGAUGCGGGAGUGGUCGGAGAGAGCAGCGGCAGUGUCGCUCCCGAAGCGGCGGCCUGGAUCGCCUCACGUAUUACAAGAGCUCACCUAAAGUUUCAAUGUGCGUUGGUCAACGUUUUUUGUUGCGAUUGACGACGGCAAGCAUCGAUGUCAACUGUGUACGGCGAGGCAAACGGGUGAGGGCGGUGGCGAGCUCGCGGGGUAUGGGGGGUUGAGAGACGAUGGGAAUGAAGUCCAUCGAACGGCUAUGUGCGGGGGCAUCCGACAACUGCGUUGCGACCGGUCGAAAUUUGGUCAGGUUGACAGGCGCCUAGCGCUGCCCUUCGCUCGGCAAACAAAAUUUUUUUUGAGGGGUGGCUAACAACAAUUUUUCAGUAGUGAGUAGUGAUGCUAGUGAGUAGGGAUUGAAAGAAUGAGAGGGACUCGGACGGCAUCACUACUCACUACUGAAAAAUUAUUGUUUGCCGUAAUGCACCUAUCGCAAUAGAAUGGGGUCAUACUUCCGUCGUCACGGAAAACCCAACAAAUUUUCCAUCCAAUAUAUAUAUAUAUAUAUAUAUAUAUAUAUAUAUAUACACGGAGUCGACCCAACCAAUCUCCCGCCAAUCGUAACCGCUCGGUUCGUUGGUUGGUCCUCCUAAGCAAGAAGCCAAGAAGCUCACCGCUGCCAAUGGCGAGCACAGGCGACGAGAGCAAGCAGCCACCAGAGAAGCGCGCCCGACUUGACGGCGCCCAGGCCGCGCCGCAGCCGGCGCCGGCGCCGGCGCGCGUGCAGCUCAACCCGGCCGACUGCAACCUCGGUCAGUGCCUGCAUUUCCAUAUCCAUAUCCCCCGAAAUUCUCCACGCGCUCGCUCAACUCCGGUGGUCACGCGGCUCGUUUCUCUCUCUCCCCACCUCUCCAGAUUUCGUCGUCAGCCAUGGCGGGCUCCGGGGGCACGCGCUGCACGGGGGCGCGUUCGCCUACUGCUGGUCGGGGGCACGCGCGACGGCGGGGGUCCGAGGCGGCGGGCGGUACUGCUUCGGGUGCAGGGUGUUGGCGGAGCAGCCCGUGGAGAUGGAGGACACGGAGGCCGGCCAGCGGCACCUCUGCCGCGUCGGCGUCUCGAGGGGGGACGACCCCGUGGGCGGCCUCGGGGAGGCCGGCGGCCAGAGCUUCGCGUUCGGGGGCACCGGCGGCAAGCCCCGCCACGACGGUAACCUGAUCGACGACGAGUUUGGGGUCGGCGACACGGUCGUGUGCGCCGUGGACCUGGAUGCCAGGCCCGUGGCCUCGAUCGGGUUCGCCAAGAACGGGCAGUGGCUCGGCAUCGCCCUGCCCUUGGAUGCCAGACAGACGGGGCUCGGUUCGGUUGAUGUUCCUGUGAAGCCAAUGCCGUGGGAGUCGGCUAUCUUUCCUCACGUUCUGCUCAAGAAUGUGGUCGUGGAUCUGCAGUUCAGCAUGGAGGACGGGCUGGAGCCGGUCAAUGGUUACCAGCCCUGGAGCUCACUUCUUGCUGAUGGGAUUGGCAACGCUGUUCUUGGGCCUGCGUUUGCAGAACAGAAGGAAUGUGAGGUUAUGAUGAUGGUUGGCCUCCCGGCUUCUGGGAAGACUAGUUGGGCAGAGAAGUGGGUCAGGGAGCAUCGAGAGAGACGAUUCGUGAUUCUCGGGAUCAAGCAUGCGCUGGAACAGAUGAAGGUGCAAAUUAACCUGAUCUAGGACUAGCUAGUGGUAACUUUUUCUACUUGGAGUAGUUGUUUCUUCAGCUAGCUAGGUAGCUGAGCAGAUGGAUACUUUCUCUUUGUUGCGUGCGUGCAGAUGGCAGGAUUGCUUAGCGAAAGAAAGAUUGCAGACGCGCAAUUCGAUCGCUACUACAGUUGUCACCAGAUUGCUGCGCAUAGCUGAGAACGUCCCUCGCAACUACAUUCUCGACCAGGCGAACGUCGAAAGAAUCCCUCGCAUUCGUCUUCUCAGCAGAUUCUCCAAUUUUGGCCGCAAAGUAAGUUGUAAUGUGUGUCUGCACUUGACUUGUAGUAGUUCAAAUGGAAUGACAGGUGUAACAGUAAAACUGAACACUGUGCUACGUACCAUUGUUACAGACUGCUGUGGUUGUUUUUCCGUCACCUGCUGAGCGAAAGUCAAGGUCCUCCAAGCGAUUCCGACAAACACGCAAGACAGUGCCUGAUGAGGAGGUUAACAAGAUGUGGGGUAUGUAAUUUUUACUGCUAAACUUGUUUCCUGUUUUGAUGAAUGAAACCAGGACCAAGGGAAGAUUCAGUCAGUGGCACUGAAUCUUUAAUAUAGUAGCUUGGAUUUCCCCCUUGACUGUCGUGUCCUUCUUUUGGGUAUCCACCAUCUAACUAAUAAUAAUGUACUAAUUUGUUAGAUGAAUUUUCCUCUAUAAGCUGCAAGAUUACCAUCCAGUGAAUGAAAAUUCAGAAAAGAUUUAUCACUGGCCUUUAGUCUGAACUGAAAAACAUUUAUCUCAACUUGUUUAGAUUGUUAGAAAGAAGCUUAAGCAAAUACACUUGCAGUUUUUUUUUUUU
rnacentral:lncRNA from 1 species